CAGCCGCCGCGGUAAUACGUAGGGAGCGAGCGUUGUCCGGAUUUACUGGGUGUAAAGGGUGCGUAGGCGGGAUUGCAAGUCAGGCGUGAAAUACCGGGGCUUAACUCCGGGGCUGCGCUUGAAACUGUAGUUCUUGAGUGAAGUAGAGGCAGGCGGAAUUCCUAGUGUAGCGGUGAAAUGCGUAGAUAUUAGGAGGAACACCAGUGGCGAAGGCGGCCUGCUGGGCUUUAACUGACGCUGAGGCACGAAAGCAUGGGGAGCAAACAGGAUUAGAUACCCUGGUAGUCCAUGCCGUAAACGAUGAUAGCUAGGUGUGGGGGGACUGACCCCUUCCGUGCCGGAGUUAACACAAUAAGCUAUCCACCUGGGGAGUACGACCGCAAGGUUAAAACUCAAAGGAAUUGACGGGGGCCCGCACAAGCAGUGGAGUAUGUGGUUUAAUUCGAAGCAACGCGAAGAACCUUACCAGGUCUUGACAUCCGACUAACGAAGCAGAAAUGCAUUAGGUGCCUUUCGGGGAAAGUCGAGACAGGAGGUGCAUGGCC
rnacentral:rRNA from 1 species